rnacentral:rRNA from 1 species
UACGUAGGGGGCUAGCGUUAUCCGGAUCUAUUGGGUUUAAAGGGUGCGUAGGCGGCCUUGUAAGUCAGCGGUGAAAUUUUGCAGCUUAACUGUAAAAGUGCCGUUGAUACUGUGAGGCUAGGAUUUGGUUGCUGUGGGUGGAAUGUGUGGUGUAGCGGUGAAAUGCGUAGAUAUUAGGAGGAACACCAGUUGCGAAGGCGGCUCUCUGGACUGUAACUGACACUGAGGCACGAAAGCGUGGGGAGCAAACAGGAUUAGAUACCCUGGUA